rnacentral:lncRNA from 1 species
GGAGGUUGUAGGAUGUUAGUGCUUCAGAGGAAAACAACAACGAGCUUUUCUCUCCUCUCUGGGGAUCCUGGUCAGCUUCACAUCGGUGGCCCAGAAAUCAGUCUCAGCCCCUCCCAGUAUGGACCGCUCCUUGACAGCCGCCCUCUCUCCUAUAAAGGCAGAUGCAAGCUACGUUUGUGUGGGAUCUAUGAGACAAUAUCAAACUGCCUAACAUACGUGGAGUUGGAGUUCCAGAAAAAUAAGAAGAAAAGGGAAAAAACAUUAUUUGAAAAACAAUUCCUGAAAUUUCCUAAAUUUAAUGAAACCAUAAACCAACAGAUUAAAAAACCUCAACAAACUCCAAGCAGAAAAAAUAUAAAGAAAAUGGCACCGAUGUACAUGUUCAUCAGAUUUCUGAAAACCAGUGAUAAAGACAAAGUCCUAAAGCAACCAGAAUUGAGGGAAGGGCGGAGCAACAUUAUGUAUAGAAGAACAAAGGGGAUGACACAGCACAAAGGCCCUUGCCAGAUGUGAGCCCCUUGAUAUUGGAUUUCCCAGUCUUCAGAACUGUAAGAAAUGAAUUUAUUUUCUUUGUAAAUUACCCAAUCUGUGGUAUUCUGUUUAGCAACACAAAGCAAACUAAGA